GAGUCGUUAGCUUAGUUGGUAAAGCAGUGGACUCAUCCCUUGGCCUCAGGUUUGAACCCCGCACGACCCA
rnacentral:tRNA from 2 species